rnacentral:rRNA from 1 species
UACGUAGGGGGCUAGCGUUGUCCGGAAUCAUUGGGCGUAAAGCGCGUGUAGGCGGUCCGGUAAGUCCGCUGUGAAAGUCGAGGGCUCAACCCUCGAAUGCCGGUGGAUACUGUCGGGCUUGAGUACGGGAGAGGCGAGUGGAAUUCCCGGUGUAGCGGUGAAAUGCGCAGAUAUCGGGAGGAACACCGGUGGCGAAGGCGGUUCUCUGGGCCUUACCUGACGCUGAGGCGCGAAAGCUAGGGGAGCGAACGGG